CUGAAUUUUAAUGCCGGGGUUGUAGCUGGCCUCUCUCGGGCAUGUGCACACCCUGGUUAUCCAAAUUCUAUACCUCUGUGCACUCUUCAUAGGACAGUCGAGGCUGAUUUUACUUUACGGUAAAAAACAGUCAAAGCCGUUCUAUGCUUUUUACAUUUAUACGCUUCAGUAAAGAAUGUAUCUCGCGUUUGACGCAAUUAAAUA
rnacentral:misc_RNA from 1 species